UAGGGAAUCUUCCACAAUGGACGCAAGUCUGAUGGAGCAACGCCGCGUGAGUGAAGAAGGUUUUCGGACCGUAAAGCUCUGUUGUUGGUGAAGAAGGAUAGAGGUAGUAACUGGCCUUUAUUUGACGGUAAUCAACCAGAAAGUCACGGCUAACUACGUGCCAGCAGCCGCGGUAAUACGUAGGUGGCAAGCGUUGUCCGGAUUUAUUGGGCGUAAAGCGGGCGCAGGCGGAAGAAUAAGUCUGAUGUGAAAGCCCUCGGCUUAACCGAGGAAUUGCAUCGGAAACUGUUUUUCUUGAGUGCAGAAGAGGAGAGUAGAACUCCAUGUGUAGCGGUGGAAUGCGUAGAUAUAUGGAAGAAUACCAGUGGCGAAGGCGGCUCUCUGGUCUGUAACUGACGCUGAGGCUCGAAAGCGUGGGGAGCGAACAGGAUUAGAUACCCUGGUAGUCCACGCCGUAAACGAUGAGUGCUAGGUGUUGGAUCCUUUCCGGGAUUCAGUGCCGCAGCUAACGCAUUAAGCACU
rnacentral:rRNA from 1 species